UAUUUAAAAAUUAAAAUAAAAUAUAUUUGUAUUAAAUUUUGCGUAAAAAGAAUAAUUUAUAAAUUUUUUAGUUGUAGUAUUAUUUUUAAUCAAUAAAAUUAAAUUUUUAGUAAAGAAAUUGAAUGAUUUUAUAAUUUAAGAAGAAGAUUUAUUUUAUCGUACCUUUUGCAUCAGGGCUUAUUAAUUAAUUUAUUACUAUAGUAAUAUUUCUCGAAUUUUAAAGAUUUAAAUUAUAAUGAUAGUUAUUGUGGAAAUAUUAUUAUAAAUUAUAGUUUGGUAGUGAAAUGUUAAUCGUUUUAAAAGAUAUCUAGUUUUUUUAGAAUUGAAUUUAAUUCAUCAUUUAAUUUUUAAUUAAUAAAUUUAUAUAAAAUUAAUAAUUUAAAUGAAAUUAUUUUAGGGAUAACCUUAAAAUAUUUUAAUAAUAUAAUUUAAUAAAAUUAAAUAUAAAUAUUUAUAGAAAUAGAAAUUUUUAAAAAGUAUUUAAUAAUUUAUAAAUUUAAAAUGAAAAUAAUUUUUUAUUUAUUUUAAUUUAUAUAAAAAAAUAUUAUAAAUUAGUUUAAUUAAAUUAUAAUGAUAAUAUUAGUAAAAAUUUAUAUGAGAAAUAUAAAAAUUAAAUAAAUAAUAUUAAAGAAUUCGACAAAUAUUUUAUCCACCUGUUUAUCAAAAACAUGGUUUAUAGAUUCUAAUUAUAAAUUUGUUCUGCCCAAUGAAAUUAUUUUAAUGGCUGCAGUAUAUUGACUGUACAAAGGUAGCAAAAUCAAUUGUUUUUUAAUUAAGAACUGGAAUGAAAGAAUUGAUGAGAUAAAAAUUGUUUCAAUAUUAAAGAUUGAAUUUUAAUUUUAAGUUAAAAUGCUUAAAUGAUUUAAUUAGACGAGAAGACCCUAUAGAAUUUUAUAAAAUUUAUAAUUAAAAAUUAAAUUAUAAAAUUAAUUAUUAAUUAUAAUUAUAUUUAAUUGGGAGGAUUAUAAAAUUAAAUAAACUUUUAUUUUUUUAUAACAUAGAUUAAUGAGUUUUUGAUUAUUAUUAUAAUUAAAAGAAAGAAUUACCUUAGGGAUAACAGCGUAAUAUUUUUGGAUAGUUCAUAUAUAUAAAAAUGUUUGCGACCUCGAUGUUGAAUUAUGAUAAAAUUUAGAUGCAGAAGUUUAAAUUGUUAGUCUGUUCGACUAUUAAAAUCAUACAUGAUUUGAGUUCAGAUCGGUGUAAGCCAGAUCGGUUUCUAUCUUUUAACAAGUAAAAUUUUUUUGUACGAAAGGACUAAAAAUUUAAAAUAUAUUUUUUUAUAAAUUUGAAUAAAAUUAAUUAAUAAAUAAUUAUAUAAUUUUAAUUUAUUCGUUAGAAUAUUUAAGUAUAAAUUAUAAUUUAA
rnacentral:rRNA from 1 species